AUGGGACAUGGGAAUCUGUUAAACUAAUAAAAAAUGGAUCUAUGCAAUGUCUUCAAAUGAUUCUGCAUCAUGUAAAAAAACAUGUCUAAAAUUCUAGUUCAACAAGAUAAUAUGUUAGUAAAACUAGUUGUUGUUUUCUUUUAAAUAAAUUUUCUUCCAACAAGCACAUUUGCCAGUAGAACUAAACAUUCGUACAGGUCUUAAACGCAUCUCAAGAAAUGUAUCAAAAGUCACUUGCAGCAGGAGCACGCAGAAACAGGAGCCAGGUCAAGAAACAAGUCUUGUAAUUGGAGAUAACAGCAUUUACCGAAAUCUUGGGAAACAUCAUAGAAGGUAUGAUUUUUUUUAUUUACAUAUCAAACCUGUUGUUGCUUUCUGCUAAUAAGACAGGGAGGGUUGCUUUGUAAAGCAGUUCAUAUGAUGUGAUUUUUACACCCACAGCCCUAAGUGUCUGUUGUUCUAAUUACUACUCUGCAAUAAAAACAAUGCAGUAGAAAAGCUUAAAAUACUGUAGUGGUGUGCUAUGUUGAGUUAGUGUAGAGCUCCACUUGCUUUCUGAGUUAGGCUAAUCAGAUGCUAACUGUGCUGAGUGCACCGGGAGUUGAGGCUUCAUUUACAGCUUUGGCAGCUUAAAGUGCUACAAACAUGUAUAUACUAUAUUGGUUUUAAGGGUGUAAAUGUAUUUUUUAAUACCUGCUGUGAAUAACCUUAAGUGCUUUGCAUGUUUUGUUAAACAUAAUCAACAUUUACUCAACCAUAGACUUUGUACAUUUUGGCUUUUGAAAGCUGCUGCAAAAAUGUGUUUUAUUUAUAUUAAAAAUAUAUGAUAUGAUAUAAAUGAUAUUUAUAUGAAAGAGUUUAUUUCUGUUUUUAUAUUUAUGCAAUUGUUUUCUCUGCAGAUAAUGAUCAGCAAAACAAAGGAAGGAUGAGGGAAGGAAAGGAACUUGAUGCAGUGACCCUAAGAUCUCCAAGUGAGAACCAAGGAGAACCAUCAAAGCAGUCUGAGCAGGCAGGAAAAACUGGCAAAGAUCAGGAUGUGAAUAGACCAGCUAUUGAACCUACAUCUCAUCGACGGCUUUGGAGUAAGGCCGAAAAGGCAGCAGUAUGGCAACAGCUUUGCCAAUAUGUAACCUUAGAGAGUUCCUGGUAAAGAACCAUGUCUUGAGGCACUUAAAGUUGAGCCUGCACUGAGAAGCCAAACUUGGAAAGACAUAAAAAACAAGUUUACAAUACUAUUACUGUUCAAAAGCCGAAAAAACAUUCUACAUUGUUUGGUUAAAACUACAAAAGAAGUUGUAAGCAGUGCAUAUUUGGCAAUGGUCCUUUGCCUAGUGUUUGGACAGCAGCAAAAAUAUGUAUUUUUGUUCCAUAAACAAAUAAAAUAGUUUGUAUUUGGUCUCCA